rnacentral:rRNA from 1 species
UGGGGAAUAUUGCACAAUGGAGGGAACUCUGAUGCAGCGACGCCGCGUGAACGAAGAAGGCUUUCGAGUCGUAAAGUUCUUUUAUAUGGGAAGAUAAUGACGGUACCAUAAGAAAAAGCCCCGGCUAACUACGUGCCAGCAGCCGCGGUAAUACGUAGGGGGCUAGCGUUGUCCGGAAUCACUGGGCGUAAAGGGUUCGCAGGCGGAAAUGCAAGUCAGGUGUAAAAGGCAGUAGCUUAACUACUGUAAGCAUUUGAAACUGCAUAUCUUGAGAAGAGUAGAGGUAAGUGGAAUUUUUAGUGUAGCGGUGAAAUGCGUAGAUAUUAAAAAGAAAACCGGUGGCGAAGGCGGCUUACUGGGCUCAUUCUGACGCUGAGGAACGAAAGCGUGGGUAGCAAACAGG